AUGAACGCUAGCGACAGGCCUAACACAUGCAAGUCGAGGGCAGCACAAGGAGCAAUCUGAGGUGGCGACCGGCGCACGGGUGAGUAACACGUAUGCAACCUGCCUGUAAGCGGGGAAUAACCCGUUGAAAGACGGACUAAUACCGCAUAAUACUAAAUUACUGCAUGGUAAUUUAUUUUAAACAUUUAUGGCUUACAGAUGGGCAUGCGCAUGAUUAGCUAGUUGGAGAGGUAACGGCUCCCCAAGGCAACGAUCAUUAGGGGUUCUGAGAGGAAGGUCCCCCACACUGGUACUGAGACACGGACCAGACUCCUACGGGAGGCAGCAGUGAGGAAUAUUGGUCAAUGGACGAGAGUCUGAACCAGCCAAGUCGCGUGCAGGAAGAAUGUCCCUAUGGAUUGUAAACUGCUUUUGCAGGGGAAUAAAGUGCAUCACGUGUGAUGUUUUGUAUGUACUCUGCGAAUAAGGAUCGGCUAACUCCGUGCCAGCCGCGGC
rnacentral:rRNA from 1 species